AAUUGAAUUGAUUCUUCUUAUAUAUUUUCAUUUACUUUGUCUUUCAUUUUUAUUUUCUUAUGCUCUAUACUCUAUUUGCUCCCUAUCCGGUGGAGUUGGGAAGGGGCACGAGGUACUACCACUAGCCUCCCUCUUGUGCCGUCCCUAAUAUGCCCUACACCGAAUAGUUGGGUCAAAUAGUGCCGGGUACUACCACUAGCCUCCCCAUUGGCACCAUCCCUAUGAUGAGCAAUAUAGAAAUGUUGAAAUAUUUACUUCAAACUCUCCCUGUUUAAGUGUAAUUAAUUACGGAUUUUAUCCCUUCCAAAUGUGUCGAAUAU
rnacentral:lncRNA from 1 species